AACGAACGCUGGCGGCGUGGAUAAGACAUGCAAGUCGAACGCUAAUUUCGGGGUAGCAAUAUUCCGGAGUUGGAGUGGCGAAAGGGUGCGUAACAUGUGGGUAAUCUGCCGUGAAGUUUGGGAUAACUUGCUGAAAGGCGAGCUAAUACCGGAUGUAAUCGCUGGGAGGUAUCUUUUGGCGAUUAAAGUUGGGGACCGCAAGGCCUGACGCUUCAUGAUGAGCCCGCAUCCUAUCAGCUAGUUGGUGAGGUAACGGCUCACCAAGGCUAAGACGGGUAGCUGGUCUGAGAGGACGACCAGCCACACUGGAACUGAGACACGGUCCAGACACCUACGGGUGGCAGCAGUCGAGAAUUUUUCACAAUGGGCGAAAGCCUGAUGGAGCGACGCCGCGUGGGGGAUGAAGGGCUUCGGUCCCGUAAACCCCUGUCAUUUGCGAACAAACCUUUCUACCUAACACGUAGAGAGCUGAUUGUAG
rnacentral:rRNA from 1 species